CCCUUAGAUGUUCUGGGCUGCACGCGCGCUACACUGAAGCGUUCAACGAGUAUUCACCUUGCCCGGGAGGGUUGGGUAAUCUUUUGAAAACGCUUCGUGAUGGGGAUAGAUUAUUGCAAUUAUUAAUCUUCAACGAGGAAUUCCUAGUAAGCGCGAGUCAUCAGCUCGUGCUGAUUACGUCCCUGCCCUUUGUACACACCGCCCGUCGCUCCUACCGAUUUCGAGUGGUCCGGUGAAUCUUUCGGACUGCGCGCAGCUUCGUGCCGUGUCGCGGAAAGUCAGGUAAACCUAAUCACUUAGAGGAAGGACAAGUCGUAACA
rnacentral:rRNA from 1 species